rnacentral:rRNA from 1 species
UCCUGGCUCAGGACGAACGCUGGCGGCGUGCCUAAUACAUGCAAGUCGAGCGAGCUUGCCUAGAUGAUUUUAGUGCUUGCACUAAAUGAAACUAGAUACAAGCGAGCGGCGGACGGGUGAGUAACACGUGGGUAACCUGCCCAAGAGACUGGGAUAACACCUGGAAACAGAUGCUAAUACCGGAUAACAACACUAGACGCAUGUCUAGAGUUUGAAAGAUGGUUCUGCUAUCACUCUUGGAUGGACCUGCGGUGCAUUAGCUAGUUGGUAAGGUAACGGCUUACCAAGGCAAUGAUGCAUAGCCGAGUUGAGAGACUGAUCGGCCACAUUGGGACUGAGACACGGCCCAAACUCCUACGGGAGGCAGCAGUAGGGAAUCUUCCACAAUGGACGAAAGUCUGAUGGAGCAACGCCGCGUGAGUGAAGAAGGGUUUCGGCUCGUAAAGCUCUGUUGGUAGUGAAGAAAGAUAGAGGUAGUAACUGGCCUUUAUUUGACGGUAAUUACUUAGAAAGUCACGGCUAACUACGUGCCA